rnacentral:rRNA from 1 species
AGAGUUUGAUCCUGGCUCAGGAUGAACGCUGGCGGUAUGCUUAACACAUGCAAGUCGAACGAGAGUUUUUAACUCUAGUGGCGAACGGGUGAGUAAUACGUGAGAAUCUGCCCUUAGGAGAAGAAUAACUACUGGAAACGGUAGCUAAGUCUUCAUAUGCCGAGAGGUGAAAUAGUUUUAACUGCCUAAGGAUGAGCUCACGCCUGAUUAGCUUGUUGGUGAGGUAACGGCUUACCAAGGCCACGAUCAGUAGCUGGUUUGAGAGAACGAUCAGCCACACUGGGACUGAGACACGGCCCAGACUCCUCCGGGAGGCAGCAGUGAGGAAUUUUCCGCAAUGGGCGAAAGCCUGACGGAGCAAUACCGCGUGAGGGAUGAAGGAUUUUGGUCUGUAAACCUCUUUUCUCAAGAAAGAAGUUCUGACGGUACUUGAGGAAUAAGCAUCGGCUAACUCCGUGCCAGCAGCCGCGGUAAUACGGGGGAUGCAAGCGUUAUCCGGAAUCAUUGGGCGUAAAGCGCCUGUAGGUUGUUUAGUAAGUCUGUUGUUAAAGACCAGGGCUUAACCCUGGGAAAGCAAUGGAAACUACUAGACUUGAGUAUGGCAGGGGUAGAGGGAAUUUCUAGUGUAGCGGUGAAAUGCGUAGAUAUUAGAAAGAACACCGGCGGCGAAAGCGCUCUACUGGACCAUUACUGACACUCAGAGGCGAAAGCUAGGGGAGCAAAAGGGAUUAGAUACCCCUGUAGUCCUAGCCGUAAACGAUGGAUACUAGAUGUUGCGCAAUUUGUGCAGUAUCUUAGCUAACGCGUUAAGUAUCCCGCCUGGGGAGUACGCUCGCAAGGGUGAAACUCAAAGGAAUUGACGGGGGCCCGCACAAGCGGUGGAGCAUGUGGUUUAAUUCGAUGAUACGCGAGGAACCUUACCAGGGCUUAAAUGUAAGUUGCAUUAGUUAGAGAUAGCUAUUUCUUCGGACCACUUACAAGGUGCUGCAUGGUUGUCGUCAGCUCGUGCCGUGAGGUGUCAGGUUAAGUCCUAUAACGAGCGCAACCCCUGUUGUUAGUUGCCAGCGAGUCAUGUCGGGAACUCUAGCAAGACUGCCAGUGCAAACUGUGAGGAAGGUGGGGAUGACGUCAAAUCAUCACGGCCCUUACGUCCUGGGCUACACACGUGCUACAAUGGUAGGUACAGAGAGCAGCCACUGCGCGAGCAGGAGCGAAUCUAUAAAACCUAUCACAGUUCGGAUCGGAGUCUGCAACUCGACUCCGUGAAGCUGGAAUCGCUAGUAAUCGGAUAUCAGCCAUGAUCCGGUGAAUACGUUCCCGGGCCUUGUACACACCGCCCGUCAAGCCAUGGAAGUUGGAAGUGCCUGAAGUCCGUCACCGCAAGGAGCGGCCUAGGGUAAAGUCGAUAACUAGGGCUAAGUCGUAACAAGGUAGCCGUACCGGAAGGUGCGGCUG